rnacentral:lncRNA from 1 species
GAAGUUUUCGGGAAGAUCCUAUGUGCCCUUUACCCUUUGCUAGUCGCAUUGCUUCCGAAGGAGUUGGGGUUUGAGACGACUCUUCCCCACUUGCACUGAGAUCUUUGAGCAGAUCACUCAUCUUGGUCUCGAACUUGUCGUUGAGUUGUUCGAUUUGUUGGGUGAGCUGAGUUGUUAUGGCUUGAUUCGCUUCUUUGAUUUGUUGAGACAUUGCUCGGUUCAGAGCUUCC